rnacentral:rRNA from 1 species
GGUUAAGCGACUAAGCGUACACGGUGGAUGCCCUGGCAGUCAGAGGCGAUGAAGGACGUGCUAAUCUGCGAAAAGCGUCGGUAAGGUGAUAUGAACCGUUAUAACCGGCGAUGUCCGAAUGGGGAAACCCAGUGCAAUUCGUUGCACUAUCGUUAACUGAAUACAUAGGUUAACGAGGCGAACCGGGGGAACUGAAACAUCUAAGUACCCCGAGGAAAAGAAAUCAACCGAGAUUCCCCCAGUAGCGGCGAGCGAACGGGGAGCAGCCCAGAGUCUGAAUCAGCUUGUGUGUUAGUGGAACGGUCUGGAAAGUCCGACGGUACAGGGUGAUAGUCCCGUACACCAAAAUGCACAGGCUGUGAACUCGAAGAGUAGGGCGGGACACGUGGUAUCCUGUCUGAAUAUGGGGGGACCAUCCUCCAAGGCUAAAUACUCCUGACUGACCGAUAGUGAACCAGUACCGUGAGGGAAAGGCGAAAAGAACCCCGGCGAGGGGAGUGAAAAAGAACCUGAAACCGUGUACGUACAAGCAGUGGGAGCACCUUCGUGGUGUGACUGCGUACCUUUUGUAUAAUGGGUCAGCGACUUAUAUUCUGUAGCAAGGUUAACCGUAUAGGGGAGCCGCAGGGAAACCGAGUCUUAACUGGGCGUUAAGUUGCAGGGUAUAGACCCGAAACCCGGUGAUCUAGCCAUGGGCAGGUUGAAGGUUGGGUAACACUAACUGGAGGACCGAACCGACUAAUGUUGAAAAAUUAGCGGAUGACUUGUGGCUGGGGGUGAAAGGCCAAUCAAACCGGGAGAUAGCUGGUUCUCCCCGAAAGCUAUUUAGGUAGCGCCUCGUGAACUCAUCUUCGGGGGUAGAGCACUGUUUCGGCUAGGGGGUCAUCCCGACUUACCAACCCGAUGCAAACUACGAAUACCGAAGAAUGUUAUCACGGGAGACACACGGCGGGUGCUAACGUCCGUCGUGAAGAGGGAAACAACCCAGACCGCCAGCUAAGGUCCCAAAGUCAUGGUUAAGUGGGAAACGAUGUGGGAAGGCACAGACAGCCAGGAUGUUGGCUUAGAAGCAGCCAUCAUUUAAAGAAAGCGUAAUAGCUCACUGGUCGAGUCGGCCUGCGCGGAAGAUGUAACGGGGCUAAACCAUGCACCGAAGCUGCGGCAGCGACACGAUGUGUUGUUGGGUAGGGGAGCGUUCUGUAAGCCUGCGAAGGUGGCCUGUGAGGGUUGCUGGAGGUAUCAGAAGUGCGAAUGCUGACAUAAGUAACGAUAAAGCGGGUGAAAAGCCCGCUCGCCGGAAGACCAAGGGUUCCUGUCCAACGUUAAUCGGGGCAGGGUGAGUCGACCCCUAAGGCGAGGCCGAAAGGCGUAGUCGAUGGGAAACAGGUUAAUAUUCCUGUACUUGGUGUUACUGCGAAGGGGGGACGGAGAAGGCUAUGUUAGCCGGGCGACGGUUGUCCCGGUUUAAGCAUGUAGGCUGAUUAUCCAGGCAAAUCCGGAUAAUCAAGGCUGAGGUGUGAUGACGAGGCACUACGGUGCUGAAGUAACAAAUGCCCUGCUUCCAGGAAAAGCCUCUAAGCAUCAGGUAACAUCAAAUCGUACCCCAAACCGACACAGGUGGUCAGGUAGAGAAUACCAAGGCGCUUGAGAGAACUCGGGUGAAGGAACUAGGCAAAAUGGUGCCGUAACUUCGGGAGAAGGCACGCUGGUGUGUAGGUGAAGUCCCUGCGGAUGGAGCUGAGACCAGUCGAAGAUACCAGCUGGCUGCAACUGUUUAUUAAAAACACAGCACUGUGCAAACACGAAAGUGGACGUAUACGGUGUGACGCCUGCCCGGUGCCGGAAGGUUAAUUGAUGGGGUUAUCCGUAAGGAGAAGCUCUUGAUCGAAGCCCCGGUAAACGGCGGCCGUAACUAUAACGGUCCUAAGGUAGCGAAAUUCCUUGUCGGGUAAGUUCCGACCUGCACGAAUGGCGUAAUGAUGGCCAGGCUGUCUCCACCCGAGACUCAGUGAAAUUGAACUCGCUGUGAAGAUGCAGUGUACCCGCGGCAAGACGGAAAGACCCCGUGAACCUUUACUAUAGCUUGACACUGAACAUUGAGCCUUGAUGUGUAGGAUAGGUGGGAGGCUUUGAAGCGUGGACGCCAGUCUGCGUGGAGCCAACCUUGAAAUACCACCCUUUAAUGUUUGAUGUUCUAACGUUGGCCCCUUAUCGGGGUUGCGGACAGUGUCUGGUGGGUAGUUUGACUGGGGCGGUCUCCUCCCAAAGCGUAACGGAGGAGCACGAAGGUUAGCUAAUCCUGGUCGGACAUCAGGAGGUUAGUGCAAUGGCAUAAGCUAGCUUGACUGCGAGCGUGACGGCGCGAGCAGGUGCGAAAGCAGGUCAUAGUGAUCCGGUGGUUCUGAAUGGAAGGGCCAUCGCUCAACGGAUAAAAGGUACUCCGGGGAUAACAGGCUGAUACCGCCCAAGAGUUCAUAUCGACGGCGGUGUUUGGCACCUCGAUGUCGGCUCAUCACAUCCUGGGGCUGAAGUAGGUCCCAAGGGUAUGGCUGUUCGCCAUUUAAAGUGGUACGCGAGCUGGGUUUAGAACGUCGUGAGACAGUUCGGUCCCUAUCUGCCGUGGGCGCUGGAGAAUUGAGGGGGGCUGCUCCUAGUACGAGAGGACCGGAGUGGACGCAUCACUGGUGUUCGGGUUGUCAUGCCAAUGGCACUGCCCGGUAGCUAAAUGCGGAAGAGAUAAGUGCUGAAAGCAUCUAAGCACGAAACUUGCCCCGAGAUGAGUUCUCCCUGAGACUUUAAGUCUCCUGAAGGAACGUUGAAGACGACGACGUUGAUAGGCCGGGUGUGUAAGCGCAGCGAUGCGUUGAGCUAACCGGUACUAAUGAACCGUGAGGCUUAACCUU